rnacentral:rRNA from 1 species
GACGAACGCUGGCGGCGUGCUUAACACAUGCAAGUCGAACGGAAAGGCCCUGCUUGCAGGGUACUCGAGUGGCGAACGGGUGAGUAACACGUGGGUGAUCUGCCCUGCACUUCGGGAUAAGCCUGGGAAACUGGGUCUAAUACCGGAUAGGAGCCAUUUUUAGUGUGAUGGUUGGAAAGUUUUUUCGGUGUAGGAUGAGCUCGCGGCCUAUCAGCUUGUUGGUGGGGUAAUGGCCUACCAAGGCGGCGACGGGUAGCCGGCCUGAGAGGGUGGACGGCCACAUUGGGACUGAGAUACGGCCCAGACUCCUACGGGAGGCAGCAGUGGGGAAUAUUGCACAAUGGGCGCAAGCCUGAUGCAACGACGCCGCGUGGGGGAUGACGGCCUUCGGGUUGUAAACUCCUUUCGCUAGGGACGAAGCUUUUUGUGACGGUACCUAGAUAAGAAGCACCGGCUAACUACGUG